GUGGGGAAUCUUGCGCAAUGGGCGAAAGCCUGACGCAGCCAUGCCGCGUGAAUGAUGAAGGUCUUAGGAUUGUAAAAUUCUUUCACCGGGGACGAUAAUGACGGUACCCGGAGAAGAAGCUCCGGCUAACUUCGUGCCAGCAGCCGCGGUAAUACGAAGGGGGCUAGCGUUGCUCGGAAUUACUGGGCGUAAAGGGCGCGUAGGCGGACAGCUUAGUCAGAGGUGAAAGCCCAGGGCUCAACCUUGGAAUUGCCUUUGAUACUGGCUGUCUUGAGUUUGGAAGAGGUGAGUGGAACUCCGAGUGUAGAGGUGAAAUUCGUAGAUAUUCGGAAGAACACCAGUGGCGAAGGCGACUCACUGGCCCAAUACUGACGCUGAGGCGCGAAAGCGUGGGGAGCAAACAGGAUUAGAAACCCUUGUAGUCC
rnacentral:rRNA from 1 species